rnacentral:misc_RNA from 1 species
AAGUCGUAACAAGGUUUCCGUAGGUGAACCUGCGAAGGAUCAUUAACACGUAUCCCAAACGUUAAACCCCCCUGUGAACCUUGUACUCGUACGUCCGUUAGAAAAAGCAGCAAUCCCUGGUAAAUCAUCGCCGAACAGUUUUGGAUUCAGGGACGUCUGCAAGGAGCGUGCGUGUUGUGCGAGCAAGUGGCCUGGCAUCCCCACUGAAUAAGGAUGACGCGGUCACGAUCGUUGGAGGCCCAACGGCGGACGACCGGGUCACUGGGCGCAAGCCCCUCUAGAACAACGCUGCUAAGCGCGGCCGCGAUAAUACUCAGUCGACCAAAACCGAACAACUGUUAACAAUGGAUAUCUUGGUUCUC